CUUGGUGAGCUCCUGUGAUGGCUCCUUCCUCCUGGAUGCCAGCUUUGCCCGGGCGCUGGCUGUGGCCGUCGACGGGCUCUGCUUCAGCCUCGAGGACACCGAUGUGGGCUACGGGGGUCCCUCACCACCACCAUCACCCUUGGAGGGAGGCUUCUCGCCCGGGGUCCCCAUCCCUGCCUGGGACUGGGGGACAGCGCUGGGGGUCCCAUGGAGAGCCGGGACGGAGGCGGCCGUGGGCGUCCCACAGCAUGGUGGCCACGGGACAGGGAUUGGCAGCCCCUGGGCCAGGGCGGGUGGCGAGCCAAGGACAGGAGGGACAGGAGCGUGGCAGUCUCCAGGGUGUAGGACGCGGCAAGGCCAGAGUCCCCUCGGCUCGGCUAAAAUCCAGCUUUAUUGAGUGGUUCCCCAGAAAGGGGUCCUUUGCUAGCAAAAGCCACCCACAAAGGGUGGGUCGCACCAAGGUGGGUGGGUGUCCCUCCUUCUCCAGCGUUCUUGUCCUCCCCAAGUGUCUUCAUCCUUCACCAAUGUCCCCAUCCCUCCUCAGUGUCCCCGUCCCUCCCCAAAUUCCUCAUCCCUGCCCAGCAUCCUCAUCCUCCCCAAGUGUCCUCAUCCUCCCCAAGUGUACUUGUCCCCUCCAAGUGUCCUCGUCCCUCCUCAGUGUCCUCCUCCUUCCCCAGCAUCCUUGUCCCCCAACCAUCCUCACCCAUCCCAAGCACCGUUGUCCUUCCCAAGUGUCCUUGUCCUUCCCCAGGGUCAUUGUCCCCCUGACCGUCCUCAUCCCCGUUGACCGUUCUCAUCUCCUUCUGACUGUCCUCAUCCUUCCUGACCGUCCACAUCCUUCCUCAGCAUGCUUGUCCCACCUCGACCAUCCGUGGCCCUCUCAAGUGUCCUCAUCCCUCCCAAGCCACCUUGUCCUUCCUGAAUGUCCUUGUGCACCCUCUGAAUGUCCUCAUCCCUCCUAACUGUCUUCAUCCCCAGUGUCGUUAUCCCUCCUGAGCAUCCUCAUCCUUCCCCAACUGCCCUUACCACCCCCUGAGUCUCCUUGUCCCUCCCCACCAUCCUCAUCCCCCUGCGACCAUCCCCCUUGUCCCUCCCAAGCAACCUUGUCUUUCCCAAGUGUCCUCUUCCCCGCAGCGAUCCUCAUCCCCUCGGCGUCCUCGUCCUUCCCCAAUGUCCUCGUCCCCCCAAGCAUCCUUGUCCCCCAACGUUCCUUGUCCCUCCCCAGCACCCUCAUCCCUCUGCAGUGUCCCUGUCCUUGUCCCUCCCAUGUAUGCUCAUCCCCCCAGCUGUCCUCAUCCCUUAAAACCAUCCUCAUCCCUCCCAGCCAUCCUUGUCCCUCCCCAGAGUCCUCAUCCCUCCCAACUGUCCUUGUCCCCAGGGUCUUCAUCCUUCCCUGAGCAUCCUCCUCAUCCCUCCUGAGAUCCUUGUCCCUCCUCAGUGUCCUCAUCCCUAGCGACUGUCCUUGGCCUCCACGCGCAUCCUCAUCCUUCCUCAAGCAUCCUUGUCCCUCCCAACUGCCCUUGUCCCCAGGGUCCUCAUCCCCCCCUGAGCAUCCUCCUCCCUCCCUGAGCAUCCUCCUUGUCCCUCCCCGAGCAUCCUCAUCCCUCCCAAGCAUCCUUGUCCCUCCCAAGCAUCCUUGUCCAUCCCGACUGUCCUUGUCCCACCCCAGAGCA